rnacentral:rRNA from 1 species
GGGUUUACCCAUUGGUCAGGCUUAAUUGUCUGUACUGGUGAGAUAAAUCUCUACCUUCUGAGGAACUUUCAUGUCAUUAAUUUGGUGUUUUAGGGAAUCAGGACUGUUACUUUGAAAAAAUUAGAGUGUUUAAAGCAGGCUCACGCUUGAAUACAUUAGCAUGGAAUAACAAAAUAGGACGUAUGAUUUUAUUUUGUUGGUUUCUAGGAUCGACGUA